GCUACUGGUUCUGGGAUGGUCCCUGGGCUAACUGGCACCUGCACUCCCUUUUCCCACUCCUGCCUCCAGGGGUCUGCCAGCACAUAGUAUUCAUCAGGGUUCAGCUGGAAGGAGUCAUGUAACUUCAUGGCAGUGAUCAGGUCCGUUCUGAACACCUCAGAAGGUUUUCUAUCUUCUUGUCUGGAACAUGAAGACCUCCGAUGGUGAGAUCUGGAAUGCUGGGACCAGGUGGACAGACUGCCAUUGUCGUCAGAAUUCUCACUGCUGCUAGGAAGCCGACGUCGUUUCAUG
rnacentral:lncRNA from 1 species